GACACUCAACUGACUGAGCCACCCAGGUGCCCCUGCUUGUAUUAUUUCCUUUUUGUUACUGGUCCUCAACAAUUGCGUUUUGAUUGGAAUUGCUGUGUUUUGUUUCAUUUUUCUCUUGCUUGGGAUUUUUUUAGUUUCUUGGAUCUGUGAGUUUAUACUUCUCAUCAUAAAUAGAAAAUUUUGGGUUAUGAUUUCUUCAUAUAUGCAUUCCAUUCAUCAAUCUUUCUCCUCCCCUUUGAGACUCUAAGGACACAUACGUUAGGCUGCAUGGUGUCCUGCAGUUCAGUGAUGCUUUGUUCUUUUUUACCCCAGUCUUCUAUCUUUCUGUGUUUCAUUUUGAAUAAUUUCUAUUAUUGUGUCUCCAAGUUUACUAAUCUUUUUUUUUUUUUUUAAGUAAUCUCCAAUACCCAACGUGGGGCUCAAACUCAUGACCCUGAGAUCAAGAGUGGCAUACUGUACUGACUGAGCCAGCUGAGCACCCUAAACUUACUAACAUUUUAUUCAGCAGUGUCCAAUCUGCUGUUAAUCUCAUUCAGAGUAUCGUUCAUUUUAAGCAUUGCUUCUUUUUUCAUCUCCAGAAGUUUGAUUUGGGUCCUUUUAAGAUCUUACAUACCUCUUAUCAUGCUCACACUUUCCUCUAACUUUUUGAAGAUAUGGAGUUGUAUUAUAAUAGCUGUUUUAAUGUUCCUAAUUAAUUUAACUAAUUCUGUCACCUGUGUCAUUUCUGGGGCUGUUUCUAUUAAUUUUUUUUUCAUUAUAGGCUGUAUUUGCCUGCUUGCUGGAAUGCCUUCUAAUUUUUUAUGGCAUGCCAUUGUGCUGUGGUUUUCUUGUAUAAACAUUUUUGGGCUUUGUUCUGGGAUACAUUUAUGUUACUUGGAAACAGUUUGAGCCUUUCAAGUCUCACGUUUAAGCUUUGUUGGGCAGGUCCAGAAGAGCCCUUCAUUUACGGCUUAUUGGCCCAACUGCUAAGGUGAUAACCUUCUGAAGACUCUACUCGAUGCCCUACAUAUGAGGUCUUUCCACUCUAUCUGGUUGGAACACAAAUUAUUCCUGACACUGUGUGACUCCCAAGUUUUGUUGUGCUUCUUCUUUUCCAGUGAUUUUUUUUCCUCUGGCCCUGGUAGUUUUCUCACAUGCCUGUACCGAUCAGUACUCAGCUGAAGACUCAAGAGCUUCAAGUAUUAAACAGACUCUAGCACUGGCAGCUUUUUGAAAACCCACCCUUCAGUGCAAUUUUACCUGUGCCUCCUGAAAUACAGUCAACACAAUGCUGUGCUUUGGCUACUUGUGUUUUUUAAGAAUAAACCAAAAUCAGCAAUUUUAAUCAACCACAUUGGACCAGAUUGGGAGAGAAAGACUAAUGUGUUCCAAUUGCCUCGUUCCUCUUUAUGACCAAGCAGGAAGUUUCAGAGCAAACCUCCACCUCUCAGGAAGUUUACGUCAAAAUGAGUAUUGACAUCCUGUUUAAUAGAGUCUUAAAUUUUUUCCUCACUUCCAGACACUCACCAUUUGAAUUAAAAUGUUUGAGUAAUCUGUCCUGAAAUUAUGUUUCCUUUGACUCUCAGAAGACUAUGUCUAAGUGACAAAUGGAAUAUCUCUAUGACUAAUAAUGAUAAAAGUUAAAGGUUUUUUUUUAGUAGUCAUGGAAAACUGUCCCUUGAGCUUCAAACUACUGUUGCUCUCCAGAGACAAUAAGCACCACACAUCUGUAGAAAAGUGGAUGUACUAAAUAAAACUAUACCCUCCACAAAGGCUCGAGGGCACCAAUACAAAACCAGUAUCUGAGGAGUUGAACCUGCCACACAAACCAGCCCAGAACAAGACCAUCUCCAGAUGAGGCUGUCCCCUGCUGUACCUCACUGAAGUGAUUGAUAGUUGAAGAAUUGUAAGGAAGAAGAGAGUGGUCAAAAGACCAUAAAGACAGAGCAACAUGAUUUUCAGCAAGGGAAGAAAGGUAGAUUCUGCAUACUGUAUUCUGACAAAUUUAACAUUAGUACCAGGAAAAAGUUGAGAAUGGGUUUCCAUAAAUGAUUUGAGUGCACUUACAGGAUAGGACAGGGAUCAUUUGGAGCCAGCAUGCGUUUACUGAAAGCAGGGUAAACCACACUAACUUUAUUUCUUUUUCAGAUAAUAUUGGUAGAUUAGUGGUAAAGGAGAAUGCUAUAUGAAGAGUAUAGAACAUGUCAACUCUUUGUUGACAUGAUGAAAAACUAUGGAUCAGAUUAUAAUGCAGUUAGAUCUUGCCUGAAGACUUUGGCUCCAAAAAGCAGAUAAAUGUUUUCUUGGACAAGUCCUUCAUUUAUGCUGUAGGGAUCGGUCAUGGUCUCUAUUGCACUUCACAUUUAAUUAAUGGUUUGAUAGAAACUCACAUGUAUUUGGUUUGAAUAGAUCAUAUGUAGUUAAGAGUUACUAAUUUGUUCAUUGACACUAAAAAGUUAUUUGAUAAACCAUUGUAAAUGCCAGCAUUUCUGUUAAAAAUUGACUCUACAAGUAUAGUUCAGGUAAACAGGUCCUUCAGCAGUAUCUGAAGCAGUAUCUAGAAGGACAAGAAUUUUAGUAAACUACAACCUUGGGCUUUAUUAAUGAAAAUUCAGUGUGUAGAACCAGAGAGACAUUGGCCCCGUCUAUUCUUGUUUGGUCAGACAACAUCAUAUUUUCAAAACAGCAUUGAGGGGUGCGCCUGGGUGGCUCAGUCGGUUACGCAUCUGACUCUUGAUUUGAGCUCAGGUCAUGAUCUCGCAGUUU